rnacentral:tRNA from 1 species
GGAAAUACGCCGAAGUUGGAGAGUCGGGACAGACUGUAAAUCUGUUGCUUUAUUGCUGAGCAGGUUCGAAUCCUGCUAUUUCCACAA